rnacentral:rRNA from 1 species
AGGGUAUGAUACCGGCUCAGAACGAACGCUGGCGGCGUGGAUAUACAUGCAAGUCGCACGAGAAACCGGUCUUCGGAUCGGGAGUAAAGUGGCGAAAGGGUUAGUAAUACAUAGAUAACGUGCCCCGUAGUUCGGCAUAACUCGGCGAAAGCCGUGCUAAUACCGGAUACGCUGCAGAGAUGAUGUCUUUGCAUGAAAGGCGGGGACCCCUUCGGGGGCCUGUCGCUAUGGGAGCGGUCUAUGUCCUAUCAGCUAGUUGGCGGGGUAACGGCCCACCAAGGCUUACGGGUACGGGGCCUGAGAGGGUGUUCCCGAACACUGGGACUGAGACACUGCCCAGACUCCUACGGGAGGCAGCAGUCGAGAAUCAUUCGCAAUGGGCGCAAGCCUGACGAUGCGACGCCGCGUGUGGGAUGGAGGCCUUCGGGUUGUAAACCUUGUCACAGGGGAAGAAACGGGUGGACGCUAACAUCGUCCGCUCCUGACGUUACUCUGAGAGGAAGCCACGGCUAACUCCGUGCCAGCAGCCGCGGUAAUACGGAGGUGGCGAGCGUUGUUCGGAAUUACUGGGCGUAAAGGGUGUGUAGGCGGUCGGACGUGUUCGGUGUGAAAGCCCCCGACUCACUCGGGGAACUGCAUCGAAAACUGUCCGGCUUGAGUGCAGGAGAGGAGAAUGGAAUUUCCGGUGUAGCGGUGAAAUGCGUAGAUAUCGGAAGGAACGCCAAUGGCGAAAGCAGUUCUCUGGCCUGUUACUGACGCUGAGGCACGAAAGCCAAGGGAGCAAACGGGAUUAGAUACCCCGGUAGUCUUGGCUGUAAACGAUGGGCACUACGUAGUGGGACCUCUGAUGGCCUCACUGCCGGAGUUAACGUAUUAAGUGCCCCGCCUGGGGACUACGACCGCAAGGUUAAAACUCAAGGUAAUUGACGGGGGCUCACACAAGCGGUGGAGCAUGUUGCGUAAUGGAGGCAACGCCAAGAACCUUACCUGGGCUUGACAUGCAGGAAUUAGGCCGUCGAAAGGCGGCUGACACCCUUGAGGUGGAAUCUGCACAGGUGUUGCAUGGCUGUCGUCAGCUCGUGCCGUGAGGUGUCGGGUUAAGUCCCUCAACGAGCGAAACCCUUAUCCUUAGUUGCCAGCGAGUCAUGUUGGGGACUCUAGGGAGACUGCCAGUGUUAAACUGGAGGAAGGCGGGGAUGACGUCAAGUCAUCAUGGCCCUUAUGCCCAGGGCUGCAUACGUGCUACAAUGGCGGGUACAAAGGGAAGCAAGACCGCGAGGUGGAGCCAAUCCCAAAAAGCCUGCCCCAGUUCGGAUUGAAGUCUGCAACUCGACUUCAUGAAGUUGGAAUCGCUAGUAAUCACGGAUCAGCAACGCCGUGGUGAAUAUGUUCCUGAGCCUUGUACACACCGCCCGUCAAGUCACCUGAAUGGAUCGAACCCGAAGCCGCGAAACUUUCGGGUUAGCGUCGAAGGUCCGGUUCGUAAGGGGGACUAAGUCGUAACAAGGUA